rnacentral:rRNA from 1 species
AUAACUUUUAACGGUGGAUCUCUAGGCUCGUGCAUCGAUGAAGAACGCAGCCAGCUGCGAUAAGUAGUGUGAAUUGCAGAAUUCCGUGAAUCAUCGAAUCUUUGAACGCAAAUGGCGCUCCCGGUUCUGCCGGGAGCAUGUCUGUCUGAGUGUCGG